rnacentral:rRNA from 1 species
GAUGAACGCUGGCGGCGUGCCUAAUACAUGCAAGUCGAGCGAACGGACGAGAAGCUUACUUCUCUGAUGUUAGCGGCGGACGGGUGAGUAACACGUGGAUAACCUACCUAUAAGACUGGGAUAACUUCGGGAAACCGGAGCUAAUACCGGAUAAUAUUUUGAACCGCAUGGUUCAAAAGUGAAAGACGGUCUUGCUGUCACUUAUAGAUGGAUCCGCGCUGCAUUAGCUAGUUGGUAAGGUAACGGCUUACCAAGGCAACGAUGCAUAGCCGACCUGAGAGGGUGAUCGGCCACACUGGAACUGUGACACGGUCCAGACUCCUACGGGAGGCAGCAGUAGGGAAUCUUCCGCAAUGGGCGAAAGCCUGACGGAGCAACGCCGCGUGAGUGAUGAAGGUCUUCGGAUCGUAAAACUCUGUUAUUAGGGAAGAACAUAUGUGUAAGUAACUGUGCACAUCUUGACGGUACCUAAUCAGAAAGCCACGGCUAACUACGUG